rnacentral:rRNA from 1 species
GACGAACGCUGGCGGCGUGCUUAACACAUGCAAGUCGAACGGAAAGGCCCUGCUUUUGUGGGGUGCUCGAGUGGCGAACGGGUGAGUAACACGUGAGUAACCUGCCCUUGACUUUGGGAUAACUUCAGGAAACUGGGGCUAAUACCGGAUAGGAGCUCCUGCUGCAUGGUGGGGGUUGGAAAGUUUCGGCGGUUGGGGAUGGACUCGCGGCUUAUCAGCUUGUUGGUGGGGUAGUGGCUUACCAAGGCUUUGACGGGUAGCCGGCCUGAGAGGGUGACCGGCCACAUUGGGACUGAGAUACGGCCCAGACUCCUACGGGAGGCAGCAGUGGGGAAUAUUGCACAAUGGGCGGAAGCCUGAUGCAGCAACGCCGCGUGCGGGAUGACGGCCUUCGGGUUGUAAACCGCUUUCGCCUGUGACGAAGCGUGAGUGACGGUAAUGGGUAAAGAAGCACCGGCUAACUACGUGCCAGCAGCCGCGGUGAUACGUAGGGUGCGAGCGUUGUCCGGAUUUAUUGGGCGUAAAGGGCUCGUAGGUGGUUGAUCGCGUCGGAAGUGUAAUCUUGGGGCUUAACCCUGAGCGUGCUUUCGAUACGGGUUGACUUGAGGAAGGUAGGGGAGAAUGGAAUUCCUGGUGGAGCGGUGGAAUGCGCAGAUAUCAGGAGGAACACCAGUGGCGAAGGCGGUUCUCUGGGCCUUUCCUGACGCUGAGGAGCGAAAGCGUGGGGAGCGAACAGGCUUAGAUACCCUGGUAGUCCACGCUGUAAACGGUGGGUACUAGGUGUGGGGUCCAUUCCACGGGUUCCGUGCCGUAGCUAACGCUUUAAGUACCCCGCCUGGGGAGUACGGCCGCAAGGCUAAAACUCAAAGGAAUUGACGGGGCCCCGCACAAGCGGCGGAGCAUGCGGAUUAAUUCGAUGCAACGCGUAGAACCUUACCUGGGUUUGACAUGGAUCGGGAGUGCUCAGAGAUGGGUGUGCCACUUUUGGGGUCGGUUCACAGGUGGUGCAUGGCUGUCGUCAGCUCGUGUCGUGAGAUGUUGGGUUAAGUCCCGCAACGAGCGCAACCCUUGUUCACUGUUGCCAGCACGUUAUGGUGGGGACUCAGUGGAGACCGCCGGGGUCAACUCGGAGGAAGGUGGGGAUGACGUCAAGUCAUCAUGCCCCUUAUGUCCAGGGCUUCACGCAUGCUACAAUGGCUGGUACAGAGAGUGGCGAGCCUGUGAGGGUGAGCGAAUCUCGGAAAGCCGGUCUCAGUUCGGAUUGGGGUCUGCAACUCGACCUCAUGAAGUCGGAGUCGCUAGUAAUCGCAGAUCAGCAACGCUGCGGUGAAUACGUUCCCGGGGCU